rnacentral:lncRNA from 1 species
ACCAGGACGAGGACCUCGUGGGCUAGCGUCGACCCGCGAUCAUAUCCUAUAAAGUAAAUAAAUAUGAGUAAUGUGACUGAUGAACCUUGGAAGUGCCCGGUGAUCACGCUUUUGGUGGUGGUACCACCUCGCUACCGCAAAGACUCCAAUGCGCAACUGCGUGCCGCUACUAGCAACGGGUCGUACCCAAUACCCAAUAACCACCGCGGCAUCCACAUGCAACGAGUCACUGCCGUGAGCUUUGGCUAAGUGCGAAUGUCGUAAGGGUAGGUAGCUCAUGAGCGCAGAAAAUUUAUGGUGUCAAUUACGGUCCGCACAGCGGAUGGUGGCCCCCAGCAGUCACACCUUCAAGUACUCCUCAAUCCCAAGGACUCCAGCACGAUCGAAGUCAAGGUGCGUGAACCAGCAGUCCAGUUCGUAUUUCCGCGGUUGCCGGCCAAGAAUGUCCUGACAUACAUAGCAAUAUGUGCGGGGAAAGUGUAAGGUGGGAAAAGUGUGCUUGGGUUGAGAACUCCGGUGUGAAGUCACGCACCCAACUUCGGAACCCUAGGGUGCACACCGUAUAGGCACUGGGGUCGCACUGCAAUACAGGUACCCAUUAAGCACAAACCCACCACCGCAUGCCAACAGUAUUUCAGCAUAGGUGCGGAUGAUAUCGGCCUGACUCUAACAAAGCCUCAAGUCGCUGGAACAGCGUGAUGAGCAGCAAGCCGUCUCGGCUCUUUAACCGAUGCGUUCAGAUGCUCCCAUGAAUGCAGUAGCUGCUCUGGUAUAUAGGCUGAAACCACCGUUUCAUCGCUCGUCCAAAUUGCAAGUCCCACCUUCAGGAUGUCGCCGAGCUUGGCACGGAGGAUGUGGGUAUCGCCGUUGACCUCCAUCACUACUGAGAUGUCUGAAUCUCCUAUUAGGUACUUGUUGAAAGCGUCGACAUACUGGUCAAUUGGCAAAGUAUGGAAGAUGUACUCGUGGCUUAUCUUGUUUGCGUCCCGAAUGGGCUCUUGCGGACCAAGAGAAGUCAACCCAAAGAAAGCCUGCAAACACGUUUCUGCGUGAGCUGCUGACCAUUGCUUCUAAUCUAAUUGCGACACAAUGCGCACCAUUUAGCACACAGUUCAGGCACAAGAGUGGGUUUCCUUGUCCUACGCUUCUAGUUACAAAAUAAACAUAUACUUGUUACUACAAUGCUGUCCUCCCAGUUAUUUCUGAACCCUUGCUAACUAUAUUACUGUACAUAUAAGUAGCUACGACCACCAUGAACGCUAGGGCAAAGACGUCCUGCUUAGGUGUCCCCGGUCUGACCUGUGCAAGUAUGUGAACAAUUAUCCUCGCUCUCGGUGUUGCAUGAAUGCCAAUAUUGCCGUACGACUGGUUUCUGAAUUCCCCGUAGCAAUACAGUAAUAGGGGGUAAAUACUUUCUUCUUCCUGCUUGAUUGUCACAAUCAUGCCAGGGCUCUUAUGAACCUUUUGCCCUUGUUUUACCAACUUAUGGAUACCGGUGUUACAGGAUUCGUUAGUGAUAGUGAUCGCCUACUCUGAUACUCCAGACAGUUGAGUGCUAAACAUCAGCAAAUACGUACAACUAUAAUAAAUAAACGUGUUAAGAUUUUCAGGGUGCGGAGCAAGCAGUAGCUGAGCGAAUCCCGAACGGCUCGAGUGCGUGCGUGGAGCCGCUGUGGGGGACCCGCAUUCGACGCACCGGUCGCUUGCGGACACCAUCAUGCUUUCGAUUGAUUCCUCGUGCACAAGAGGGCUUAACGUCACACAAGUCCGGAGUCCAAAUGAGGGGGCGAAUCCGAAAUGAUUACACCGUAGUCCCACAAAUGUAACCUUCACCAUCACGCUGGCACGCAAGCUGUCGAUCGGCAAAAAAAGUCGCCAUCCAGCCAAUAAGGGUGAAUGGUUUGCGGUAAUGUUGAAAUCUUGCCUUGAGCAGGAAAGUCCAUAAGACAGGUAAGACUGGUGGGACACAACUGUCGCACGUAUCCUACGAUACAUGGAGAAGAAAGAUGCUCGCACCUCAUUCCCACGAUAUAGCAACAUACGUGACCCACCUCGAGCGAACGGAUAGCCCGAAACCCAAGAUUUCCGUUUUCCGUUUCAAUGGAAGAUGCCAUUGAUACCAAUCGGUCGGCAUGUUUAGCGUUCUACACGGACGCACUGCAACAUGUCCGCAGUCCUAAUGUACCAGGGAAAUACAGGGAAUCAUUAGAAAGCAUCAUUUGCCGAUCAUACUCCGCACAUUUUAGGAAGAGUUGCAUCUAUAUUUGCGGACAGAAUCACCUUCAUUGGCGUGCUUCAGGCGAAUUCGAGAAUUCGGCCGCUUCGCGAAUGUGCCAAGGCCAGUACGGGCAGGCAUAGAAAUAGUGAUCUCAAAAUAAGCUGAUUCUCAAAGGUGUAGACCUUGCCCUCAAUUUUCGUUAGGGUGAGGGAGUAACUCCCAUUGAACGUAUAGGUCAGUGAGUGGAUACAAGUGAAGUGAUACAAGUUUACCUAAGCUACUGUGCAAUUCCUGUUUUGGAUGGAGUAACAUCAUUCCAAACGAGGAUAAUCAAAACCAUUUCUUGAUUCCGAUCGAAAUUAACUCGACUGAAGGCUUUUGUUUGAAGAAUUGCAUGGCUGCCAAUUGUUUGAAUUUCAAACCGAAAAGUCCGAUCCACAAAUGCAUUACGCACGCAGGCUGAUACCCUGACGUGCAGUGUUGCGGAAAAGGAUAUAGCAAGGUUGUGACGUUACAGUGUUAUCAAAGGACCUGGGAUCACGUGCAUAGCAACGAGAUAACCCAUCUGCAUGGAAGUCACGCACCAUAUCACACAUCCCUUUCCCCAAAAAUUACACCGUAACGAAAAAUUGAUCCUAAACAGAUCUGUCACAAUGUACAGGCAGGACCAUCGCGCCUGACCGCCCCCAUAGGACCAUCAAGCCAGCCCGAAAGCCCCUGAUGCCCAGUCAAAGGUCCACCAGUCCCAGCUCAAGCAUUGACGCCAAGAAUUUAGAAGAACGGAACGGACACGCCGUUCGUGGCGAAGUUGGCGCCCCACGGGUUGGCCAGGUGCUCGCCCAGAGCUGUGGGAAAGGGGAAAACAACGCAAUAAGUAACAAAAGAUGGCGAAAAAGGGCACGGCAAGGAACCGCUAAUUCAAGCACACAGUACAAUGACCCCAUAUUUCCAUAUUUCCAACCCAGCAACUACAUGUACCACUCACCAGCCAGGGGCCCCUUGCCUGUCGAUCCGCGAGACGAAUUGCAUGAAGAGCAGAGUACCCAGAAAACUUGGUUAGUAAUCAACAAACUUCGGCAAUACCAAAUAUUUCGUAUGCCAGCGCUUACCCGUGGCGGCGUGCUGGGCAAUGAAGCCCAGGAAGGCAACCAUUGCCAGGCGACCGUUCUUGAUCUCCUUGAGCUUCAGCUCACCAGCCUUGGACGAGUCCUUGGCAAAGCUGCAGGCAAACACGCAGUACAAAGAUUAUGAGCGUGUGCAGUGACCAUGUCAAAGGAAGCGACAGCAGAACAUACCCAAGGGGGUCGAAAGCACCGCCAGGGUAGAUCACACCGCCAGCAUCGUUGCGCUGGCCCUCAGCGGCCGCCAUGGCCACGAACUCCUACACGUGCGAUGAUGAAGACAAUCAUGACGGUGGAGAACACAAGACGAAAUCGUACAAUGCCGUCAACUUACGAAUGCCAGCAGGGUGUUCAGGUCGAACGGCACCUCAAUGCCGAACCAGGUGGCCUUGCCGCCAGUCACAGCCUGCACCAAUUCACAAGGGGGAAUCCAUUACGCAAGGAAAGCCAAGCCAAGUAGCAACAAACAAAAUUAUAUGCAACCCAAAAUUGAUUAGCGCAGCAAAACUUACCCAGAGAGGGGCAUCAUACCAGUUGCCGUAACCGAGCAGCUCCACAGCCAGAGCGCCAGCGACGCCGAGCAUAGCCCAGCGGCCUGGGUAGUUCAAAGAGAGUCCCUUCUAAAUUACCAGAUCUCUAAAGAAUACAUUUCUUUUUAUCACUUAUAUCAUACUCUAUAUGGCCUGACAAAUCCAAGCUGAUGCCAAGGAGCGGAUUUCCUGCAAGCCCAAUCCCACCGUGGAUGACCUCCGACUCGGUGAAGCGCUUCAGCGAGGCAGGGUCCUUGCCCAGAGACAGAGGGUCGAAGCCGUAGUUGCUGCAAAAGGUGCAAUAGCGAUGAGCGACAGAUUUCAGCUUAAAGUUCUUUUGAUGCGUCGGCGACGACUGACGAUGCUCACCCCGGCAGGUCAUCGGGCAGCCAAGCAGGAGCAUCCGAGCCUGGCAGCCAGUUGCCGGCCUUCAUCACAACGCGGCAGCCAUUGCUCACAGCAGCGACGCGGCGGCCCGCGAAGCCGCGAGGAGCGGCAGUCUUGGCCGAAACGGUGCGCAUGGAGAGGGCCAUUUCUGCUGACUGAAUGU